GAUGAACGCUGGCGGCGUGCCUAAUACAUGCAAGUCGAGCGAACGGACGAGAAGCUUGCUUCUCUGAUGUUAGCGGCGGACGGGUGAGUAACACGUGGAUAACCUACCUAUAAGACUGGGAUAACUUCGGGAAACCGGAGCUAAUACCGGAUGAUAUUUUGAACCGCAUGGUUCAAAAGUGAAAGACGGUCUUGCUGUCACUUAUAGAUGGGUCCGCGCUGCAUUAGCUAGUUGGUAAGGUAACGGCUUACCAAGGCAACGAUGCAUAGCCGACCUGACAGGGUGAUCGGCCACACUGGAACUGAGACACGGUCCAGACUCCUACGGGAGGCAGCAGUAGGGAAUCUUCCGCAAUGGGCGAAAGCCUGACGGAGCAACGCCGCGUGAGUGAUGAAGGUCUUCGGAUCGUAAAACUCUGUUAUUAGGGAAGAACAUAUGUGUAAGUAACUGUGCACAUCUUGACGGUACCUAAUCAGAAAGCCACGGCUAACUACGUG
rnacentral:rRNA from 1 species